CGGUGAGCCUUGUGCUUAAAAGUAGUUUUAUUUAUCAAUGUCAUAUCAAUUAUCACCAGCUUGGGCACAAUUCCACAAUAAGAGCUCUUGUUGGGUUCUGUCCAUAAAAUUCUUUGCAACCAUGUUAAGAUCUUGUAAAACAGGGAAGUUUUACUAACAGUUUAGAAAAAAUACUAAUCACUAAUAAACCAAUUUCAUACUGAACGUGGUGGGCUAACAUUUUUUUUUCAAACAUCAUUAAUAUUAUUUUCAUUGUUUCUUUUCUAGUGAAUUCUAAAGCACUGUAUAAAUAAUAUGUAUUAAUCAAAACUCAAGUAAGAGAUGGGGUGUAGCUCAGUGGCAGAGCACUAGCCUAGUGCCUAGUCUACAGGAGACCCUGGCUCAAUCCUAGACCCUGGCUUGAAAAAUAUUUUUACAACAUUAUUUUUUACAUUUAUGUUAAUAACACUGUUAACAAAUUACAUUUAUAUAAAUGGUUAACAGAAAGUUGAAGAGGUCACUCUAUAAUAAUGAGCUUAUUGAAAACAUACUUAUGCAGGGCCGGGGAUUUAGCUCAGUGGCCUUGAAAGCACAAGGUCCCAAGUUCAAUCCCCAGUUCCAAAAGAAAAAAAAGAAUUUAUUAUAUAAAAUAUGUCUACUAAAAACCACUUUGUGCCACAAUCCCCAAAAGAAUAGGAAUUCUCCAUUUCUUAAGCAAUUAAAAGAUGUAGAGAACUUUAGAUUAAACCAGAUGAGUAAAACAUAGCACUACAUUUUCACUCUAAGUAGCCACUGAUUAAAUAACUGAUCUCACUUAUUGAUCACCAACCAAGCGUUAUCUAAUCCGAAUAUCUCUACAAGUAUUAUUCCUAUUGUAGAAGAUACAACCCAGAGUAAUUUGCCCAAGGCUAACUGAGCAAGUUAAGACCCAGUGCUAAAAGAGGAACUGAGGUCAGUUUAAUUAGCAUUAUGGCCCCUGAUCUGCACCCAAAAUCGAAAUCAACUAUUUUUAAAAAUAUAGACAGACAGUAAGUUGUUGGUUCAAACUUAACAUUACAUAAAUGUUAACUGUAUACAGCAUCACAAUUCCAAAACAAUAAACAAUAAAACAAGGCAUCUUCUAGAUUCUUGGUAUAAGGUUGUGUUAAAGCCAACUAAUUUCUCUUUUUACAGUCAGAAAUACAGAAAACGAUAUUAGAAUUUAUCAGGUACACUUG
rnacentral:lncRNA from 1 species